rnacentral:rRNA from 1 species
AGUGAACGCUGGCGGUAGGCCUAACACAUGCAAGUCGAACGGCAACACAGUAAGAGCUUGCUCUUACGGGUGGCGAGUGGCGGACGGGUGAGGAAUACAUCGGAAUCUACUUUUUCGUGGGGGGUAACGUAUGGAAACUUACGCUAAUACCGCAUACGACAUACGGGUGAAAGCAGGGGAUCUUCGGACCUUGCGCGUUUGAAUGAGCCGAUGUCGGAUUAGCUAGUUGGCGGGGUAAAGGCCCACCAAGGCGACGAUCCGUAGCUGGUCUGAGAGGAUGAUCAGCCACACUGGAACUGAGACACGGUCCAGACUCCUACGGGAGGCAGCAGUGGGGAAUAUUGGACAAUGGGCGCAAGCCUGAUCCAGCCAUACCGCGUGGGUGAAGAAGGCCUUCGGGUUGUAAAGCCCUUUUGUUGGGAAAGAAAAGCAGCAGGUUAAUACCCCGCUGUUCUGACGGUACCCAAAGAAUAAGCACCGGCUAACUUCGUG